rnacentral:rRNA from 1 species
CCCUUAGACGUUCUGGGCCGCACACGCGCUACACUGACACAGGCAACGAGCUUUCCUUUACCGAAAGGUAUGGGUAAUCUUUUGAAACUGUGUCGUGCUGGGGAUAGAUCCUUGCAAUUUUUGAUCUUAAACGAGGAAUUCCUAGUAAGCGCGAGUCAUCAACUCGCGUUGAUUACGUCCCUGCCCUUUGUACACACCGCCCGUCGCUACUACCGAUUGAAUGGCUUAGUGAGGCCUCAGGAUCCGCGCUUAAUGUGUGGAGAAUUUGGACAAACUACGUCAUUUAGAGGAAGUAAAAGUCGUAACA